rnacentral:rRNA from 1 species
GACGAACGCUGGCGGCGUGCUUAACACAUGCAAGUCGAACGGAAAGGCCCUGCUUUUGUGGGGUGCUCGAGUGGCGAACGGGUGAGUAACACGUGAGUAACCUGCCCUUGAUUUUGGGAUAACUUCAGGAAACUGGGGCUAAUACCGGAUCGGAGCUCCUGCUGCAUGGUGGGGGUUGGAAAGUUUCGGCGGUUGGGGAUGGACUCGCGGCUUAUCAGCUUGUUGGUGGGGUAGUGGCUUACCAAGGCUUUGACGGGUAGCCGGCCUGAGAGGGUGACCGGCCACAAUGGGACUGAGAUACGGCCCAGACUCCAACGGGGGGCAGCAGUGGGGAGUAUGACACAGUGGGCGGAAGCCUGAGGCGGCAACCCCGCGUGCGGGAUGACGGCCUUCGGGUUGUAAACCGCUUUCGCCUGUGACGAAGCGGGAGUGACGGUAAUGGGUAAAGAAGCACCGGCUAACUACGUG